CGUCGCGUCUACACAUGCAAGUCGAACGAUGAAGCCUUUCGGGGUGGAUUAGUGGCGAACGGGUGAGUAACACGUGGGCAAUCUGCCCUUCACUCUGGGACAAGCCCUGGAAACGGGGUCUAAUACCGGAUAUGACACACGACCGCAUGGUCUGUGUGUGGAAAGCUCCGGCGGUGAAGGAUGAGCCCGCGGCCUAUCAGCUUGUUGGUGGGGUGAUGGCCUACCAAGGCGACGACGGGUAGCCGGCCUGAGAGGGCGACCGGCCACACUGGGACUGAGACACGGCCCAGACUCCUACGGGAGGCAGCAGUGGGGAAUAUUGCACAAUGGGCGAAAGCCUGAUGCAGCGACGCCGCGUGAGGGAUGACGGCCUUCGGGUUGUAAACCUCUUUCAGCAGGG
rnacentral:rRNA from 1 species